UGUGGGAGGGGGCUUGCCCCCGAUAGCGCCGUGUCAGCCAUAUACACAUUGGCUGAUCCAUCACUAUCGGGGGCAAGCCCCCUCCCACA
rnacentral:misc_RNA from 1 species